AGUCUAUAUAUAUGAUAUCAUUCCAUAUAUUCUUUACUUAUAUAUCACGACUUUGGCUUCAUUACAGAUAACCCAUUUGUACUUGGCUUGAUUACCCUUUGGCUCUCGUUGGAGCGUGUGAUUCAAGAAUGGACGGAAGGUCUAUCACCGCUUGUUUUUUGGUGAUCCUUGUGUUGUUCGGAAGCACUACGUCUGCAGAGAAAUGUUUGAUUUCUUGGUAUCGGAGGACGCUUUGUAUCAACCCUGAUUGCAAGGCUACAUGCAUGUUUCAUUUCAGUGGCCAGGUCCGUCAAUAUUGGUGCGAUAGAAUUUUCUUUGGCCAGUGCAACUGCAGGAUUUGCAUUCAUGGAUAGAGCUUAAAGGAUAUGCUAAGCGCAUUUCAUGUUAUCAAUAAAUAUUCCAUCA